AACUAACGCUAUUCUAGAUACAGUUUCUGUACUUUAUUGGUAUGAGAAACUUCCAGAAUUAACUUUCUGACAAAUUUUGGACUGGAGGUCUUCGGGCCCCC
rnacentral:misc_RNA from 1 species